AGUGAACGCUGGCGGUAGGCCUAACACAUGCAAGUCGAACGGCAGCACAGUAAGAGCUUGCUCUUACGGGUGGCGAGUGGCGGACGGGUGAGGAAUACAUCGGAAUCUACUUUUUCGUGGGGGAUAACGUAGGGAAACUUACGCUAAUACCGCAUACGAUCUACGGGUGAAAGCAGGGGAUCUUCGGACCUUGCGCGAUUGAAUGAGCCGAUGUCGGAUUAACUAGUUGGCGGGGUAAAGGCCCACCAAGGCGACGAUCCGUAGCUGGUCUGAGAGGAUGAUCAGCCACACUGGAACUGAGACACGGUCCAGACUCCUACGGGAGGCAGCAGUGGGGAAUAUUGGACAAUGGGCGCAAGCCUGAUCCAGCCAUACCGCGUGGGUGAAGAAGGCCUUCGGGUUGUAAAGCCCUUUUGUUGGGAAAGAAAAGCAGCAGGUUAAUACCCCGCUGUUCUGACGGUACCCAAAGAAUAAGCACCGGCUAACUUCGUG
rnacentral:rRNA from 1 species